rnacentral:misc_RNA from 1 species
AAUUCUCAAUCCUGUGUAAUCUUGUGUUGCAUGACGAUUGGAUUUUGGGGGUUUGCUGGCUUGUUCAGCUCCCCUUAAAAGCAUUAGCAGGGCAAUGAUGCCAUCUGUGCUGUGUAUGAUAUGUAUCUAUACAUUGCGCAGGUUGGGUACAUCUGCUUCAAACCGUCAUUUAUGACAUUUGACUA